GUUUAAUUUAAUAAUACUAGUAUUUCCAUCAAACUCUGAGAUUGAUAUUCACUCACAGUCAGUUUCUAACGGAAAGUUAUGGCGGUAGUUGAGUUGUUCGUGUUAGGGUGCACCGGAAUCGUCAUGUUCUUUCACGGCGUCAAUUUCAUGUUUCACGCUCUCGCUCAUCAAAUCUCCGUUCGAUCUCUCAGUUUCUUGGGGUGUGUUUGGUGACAAACAAAUGAACAGAUGAGCCGGAAUUUGGUUUUCAACGGAAUGGAAAUUGUGAAUAUUUUUUGUAGACAAUAAUAAAUGUAAGAUGAAUGAGGAAUGUUUUUCAUCUUAUAAUAUUUUUGUAAAGUUUGGUUAUUAUGAUAGGGUGCUACUUUCUACACCCCCCCCUAUUUACUUUUUUCACCCCACUCCUCUCACAUACUUACAGGUGGGGCCUGCGUGGGACCGACAGUUCUCCUCUCACAAAGGGGGGUGUAAUCAGGAAGAGGGGGGUGCGUAUAGAAUGAGCCUUAUGAUAAAUUCAUGAUAUGAGGCUUUAAACUAAUGAAUGAGGAAUAUUCCGUCUUAUAAUUACUUAGGCUA
rnacentral:lncRNA from 1 species